rnacentral:rRNA from 1 species
GGAUUAGAUACCCUGGUAGUCCACGCAGUAAACGAUGAUAGCUCGUUGUCGGCGAUACACAGUCGGUGACUAAGAGAAAUCGAUAAGCUAUCCACCUGGGGAGUACGUUCGCAAGAAUGAAACUCAAAGGAAUUGACGGGGGCCCGCACAAGCGGAGGAACAUGUGGUUUAAUUCGAUGAUACGCGAGGAACCUUACCCGGGCUUGAAAGUUACUGACGAUUCUGGAAACAGGAUUUCCCUUCGGGGCAGGAAACUAGGUGCUGCAUGGUUGUCGUCAGCUCGUGCCGUGAGGUGUCGGGUUAAGUCCCAUAACGAGCGCAACCCCUACUGAUAGUUGCCAUCAGAGCGUUUGAGCGAUCAAACAAGCUGGGCACUCUAUCGGGACUGCCGGUGUAAGCCGAGAGGAAGGUGGGGAUGACGUCAAAUCAGCACGGCCCUUACGUCCGGGGCGACACACGUGUUACAAUGGUAGGUACAGAGGGCAGCCACCCAGUGAUGGGGAGCGAAUCUCGAAAGCCUAUCUCAGUUCGGAUUGGAGGCUGAAACUCGCCUCCAUGAAGUUGGAUUCGCUAGUAAUCGCGCAUCAGCCAUGGCGCGGUGAAUACGUUCCCGGGCCUUGUACACACCGCCCGUCAAGCCAUGGGAGUUGGGGGUGCCUGAAGUUCGUGACCGAAAGGAGCGACCUAGGGCAAAACCGAUGACUGGGGCUAAGUCGUAACAAGGUAGCCGUACCGGAAGGUGCGGCUG